CCAUCCUGAAGCUGUCCACCAGAGGCCCUCGGACUUUUACUCCUUUCCCUGCCACCUGACUGCCCCACCCACCUGUUCCCACUUCAUCUGCCCUGCAGCUACCUGGCCUACUCCUCACCUACAACUCAUUCCCUCAGUGUACAUCAACAACCAGUAUCUGAUCCAGGAGCAGCGCUCAGGCCAAACUCAGCCAGGCAAAGGAGCGCUACCAGCAGGCCAGUGGAGGAGUGACAGAGAGGACCAGAGUCCUGGCAGAGAGGCUCUGGGUUUCCUGCUGUUUUCCAGCUUCUUCGGUUGACAGGUAAAUUUCCUGAAGCUCCUGGCCUUUCUUGAUGAUGACCUUUUAAUUUGGCCUUAAAUGAUCAGUUAUUGAGGACACAGACUGAGAAAGACCCAAAGCUGAUUCCUGAUCAGAUCAACAGAUGUCACCAUGUGAUCUUACA